UUGAUUCCAGUCGUGUAACGGCUUGGAUAACGACAUUAUCUUUAGCUAAUUAAAAAUAUACAUAUAACAAAUUAAUAUGUAACAUUUACAUGCAUCACACUACAUAAUAUUUGUCAUACAUCGCUGAGGAGAAUCUGUUUGAGACUUUCAAGCUAUAGAUACGUCACUAAAGCAGAAAAAGUCCACAGAGGUCCACGAACAGUGAGCUUUCCCUUUGGAGCUGCCCCAGCAACAGAGAGUGCCUCCUCAACCAAUCGCUGCCAAGGAACCCACACCGCUCGAGGCGGGUAUUUUCUUCACAGCACAGAAUGCCUUUCCUCACAGCGACAAGUGUUGAGAUUCAAAGGUGAAUGCCUGGUAGCACAAUAUGGAAAAGUCAGCUGUGGAGGAAUGGACUGUUGAAAAUGUAGUGGAGUGGAUUUCUGGCUUAGGUCUGGGCAACUUCACGGCAACAUUUACAGAGGCUUUGCAUGAGUGGUGUACAUUAACAGCUGGCAAUGAAGUUGACUACCAUGCACUCGAUGCUUAUGAAGACAGUGAUGGAUGUUUAUAUAUUGCACCUCAUCAUACUGUGUAUAAGGUGAAGAAAUAGAUGGUGAGACUCUUUUAGGUCUGACAGAACAUAUGAUUGGAAAAAUCUUCCGAACUAUGAAGGACCAAGUCAAAUUUUUAAAGGCUCUCGAGAACCUUAAAAGAACAAAAGCAAAUGAGCAUAUUGUUUCAGAGAAGGUGCUACCAGUAGAAUGCAGAGAAGUGCCACAAACCUCAACAAGUGUUCAUGUUUGGACCGCAUGUUAUACAUUGCCUAUAUUUCCUCCAGUUGUACAGAUGGCCCUUGAUAGAAAGGACAUUGGUUUCAAAUCAAAAGACAAAUCUGCCCUUCGUGCAGCUCUAAUACAGACUCUGUUUGAUGACCUCAGCAAAUAUACGCUGUAUCCAGACCACAUAAUGUACAGUACUGUGCUAAGUACUUUGUGCUGUAAGUACAGAUUUCUAAGGGAUGACAGCCAAACUGGAUAUGCUACUCUACUUGAAAUACUGAGAAAUUAAUUCAAAAAAGAGAGAAAGACACUUAUUUCAGUGGAGACUGUAGAAGACAUGAAAAAAAAGUUUGGUGCUGUGGGUCGAGGAAGGAAGCGUGCACCAGAGCAACAGCAACCGCUCAUGGAAAAGAGAAGAGAAUCUAUGCAAAGUGAGGAGUUCCCAGGAGAAGACGAGCAUAGUACUGUACACACUCGGGAAAGAAUGAUGGAGAAGAAGUCCACUGAAGAAGUCCUUGGUCUGUUUCCAUUCCUAAAGCAUCCUAAACUGCUGUUGCACGAAGUAGAACUACGUUUUGGAGUAAACUUGGAACGGAACCUAAUGAGUGGCCUAUCCAGAAUGGUAGAUCCUAUUUUCAGACUUUCUAGUGGGCAUCUUCUAACUACUGUGAUGUCCUACAUUGAAGAUGCUUCAGAUAAGACACAGGAAAAUGGUAAUGUAUAAGAAAUAUUUAUUGUACAUCAAAUUGUUUUGACCUAUCUCAGAAUAGGAUCUAUAAAUAACUAUUAAACAGAAAAUGAUGCAACUUCAUUUCAUACACUUAGAGCAUAAUAUUUCAUGGGGAAGAUAGCUGGUAUUUAACUCUCACAGGGGCAUAAAAACCAAUGCGAAAAACCUGCAUGAACAGAUUUUUAGAAACUUUGUUGAUACUGUUCUUAACAUUUUUUUGCUCCAAUCCACAAUAACGUUUGUAUCAGUGGUGGUCAGUCCUGGUCCUGGAGAGCUACAGUCUUGUGUGUGUUUUUUUAGGUACCUUUAAAUCAUUUAAACUAUUCUUUAUCUGUGCAGUUUAGCAAAUAAUGAAUUCAUGAAUGUAACUGAGAGCACUGGUGGAAUGCAAAGCCAAAGAUCCUGUACCUCUCAGACCAGGGUUGCUCAACAUUCUUCCGUUUGCUUUGUACUUUGUAUAUGAUCUGAUACCCUAUUUGUUUUUUUAGGACUGAGAAUGAAUGCUGCAUUGUUGCUGUUGCCAGCUUUGUUUCGAGAGAGGGAAAAUCUGUUGUUUGUUGUUGACCAAGUACCACCAUCACCUACGCCAACUAUCGUUUUCAAGGGAACAACAAGCCCAUUGGCAGCAGAUGACAUCUCUGUUUGUGUUGAUGGAAUUGAGAUACUCAGUGAUUAUCCAGGAAUAGAUAUCACCCUUGCUGUUGAAUGUAUUUUUUCUCUUUAUUUUUCCUUGGGCAUUGAGUAUCCUAAAGCUCUAAAAAAUUUUCUGACUUUCAUGGAAAGGUACUUCAUGAAGCUGAGUACCUCUGACAAAGUACCUUUGCCAGUGUUAAAGAUGUACAGUCAAAUAACUGCACUUUUACUUGGGGAAUAAUUAUAUUGAUCUGAUGGAAUGCCAUUUUAACAUUUAAUCUGAAAUUAAAUGAAUUUAUUGUGUCAACUAUUUAAUUUGAUUACAAAAACAGAAUGUUUGAUAUAAAAAUGUAAUUGUACAUAUCAAAAAAAGUAUUUAUUUUAAAUGUAAAUGGCUGAUUAGAAAAUUAAUUGUUUAUAACAAAUGUAAAUUGUUUUUAAUAGAAGUUUUGAUCUCAAAAAACUAAUAAACAUUCAGUCUUAAUUUAUAGAUAUCAUAAACUCAUAAUAAGCUCUGAUCUAAAUACUGUACUGUAGCUCUUCUAAUUUGUGCCACCAAAAAAUGAAUAAGAAAAAAGAAACCCACGUUCAUCAGUUUCAAUAUACAUUUUAUCUCAGCUUUUUCAAGGUCUAUUACAUGUUCUUGAAAAUGUAUUUUGUGUAAGUUUCAGGAAAAUCUGUGGGAUGCAUAGAUUUAUUUUCCAGUUUGCUGCGAGACCCUUUUUUUCACUGUGUAAAUAAUAUGGUUUAAUUAUUAAAAACACACAGGUUGAAUAAAACUGUGUAAAACUGUAUAUAACUAAACCUGAAACUGAAACUGCUCUAAUGGU